GACGAACGCUGGCGGCGUGCUUAACACAUGCAAGUCGAACGGAAAGGCCCUGCUUUUGUGGGGUGCUCGAGUGGCGAACGGGUGAGUAACACGUGAGUAACCUGCCCUUGACUUUGGGAUAACUUCAGGAAACUGGGGCUAAUACCGGAUAGGAGCUCCUGCUGCAUGGUGGGGGUUGGAAAGUUUCGGCGGUUGGGGAUGGACUCGCGGCUUAUCAGCUUGUUGGUGGGGUAGUGGCUUACCAAGGCUUUGACGGGUAGCCGGCCUGAGAGGGUGACCGGCCACAUUGGGACUGAGAUACGGCCCAGACUCCUACGGGAGGCAGCAGUGGGGAAUAUUGCACAAUGGGCGGAAGCCUGAUGCAGCAACGCCGCGUGCGGGAUGACGGCCUUCGGGUUGUAAACCGCUUUCGCCUUGGACGAAGCGUGAGUGACGGUAAUGGGUAAAGAAGCACCGGCUAACUACGUG
rnacentral:rRNA from 1 species